UGUAUGUGGGUGUGUGCAAUCGUGAAUAAGGAACCAGGAAGAACUCCUCCUCAUCUAACCCUAACUUCACAAAUCCAUCAAAUUAAAAAGGAAAUUGAGGGCUAAUUGAAUGCAUGAACUAAGAAUGGUGAUCACCUAAGUAUUUCCUACAUCAAGCACAAAGAAGGAAGAAGGCGCAAGUCACUCGAAGGCACAAGCAUCUCAAGAUCGCGGUAAAUCCCUUGCUUGAUUGCAGCGCGCCCGGAUUGAACACACACAAUGUUGACUUUUUACACGCUUCCGGUUCAAGUGGUUUAUUACGUAUGGGUCAAAUUUCUCAUUUUGUGAUAUGGUGUCAAACUUAUAUUUAGUAUGUUAGAAUGUAGUUGGAUUUCUAAACUUUUAUGUGUGGCUU